CAUAUCACGUUUUUACAUCGGUUCCCAUACGAUCACCGAAGUUAAGCAACGUCGAGCCUGGACAGUACCGACAUGGUAGAGAGCUUGGAAAUACCAGCUGCUGUAAG